UCCUUAAUUUCAGACAGUGACAUCCUUCUCACCCAACUUGGCGGGGUUUGUGUUCAACCUACUGGUGUCAGGGCUGGCCCUGACUUAUAAAGAAAGGGCGAAACCCUUCGUCCAAGUUACCGCUGAACAGCUUGUAUUCGGGUACAAUGACCCUCUGGUGACCCUUGCCCACUACUUUUACCCUAAGGGUAAACGACCCAACAGUCAGAUGGGACUAUUUCUUGCUAGAAACGGGACCUUGGACGAAGUGUCAACGAUAUAUACAGGACAAAAGUCUAUGUCCAGAUUUGGAUAUUUGGACAAAGUUAAUGGUCUGGACCAUCUGCCUCACUGGAGGAAUCGGCCUUGUAACGACAUCAC
rnacentral:lncRNA from 1 species